rnacentral:rRNA from 2 species
CCAGACAGCCAGGAUGUUGGCUUAGAAGCAGCCAUCAUUUAAAGAAAGCGUAAUAGCUCACUGGUCGAGUCGGCCUGCGCGGAAGAUGUAACGGGGCUAAACCAUGCACCGAAGCUGCGGCAGCGACGCUUAUGCGUUGUUGGGUAGGGGAGCGUUCUGUAAGCCUGUGAAGGUGGCCUGUGAGGGUUGCUGGAGGUAUCAGAAGUGCGAAUGCUGACAUAAGUAACGAUAAAGCGGGUGAAAAGCCCGCUCGCCGGAAGAC